rnacentral:misc_RNA from 1 species
GAAUUUUUAGAGCUCAUUUGGGUAAUUUUCGCAAAAAGGGUUAGUUGUAGGGACUAAAUAGUAAUUUUUUAAAUUAUGAUUAUUAACUGUUUGGAUGAGCCCAAGAGGGGCCUUGCGAUGUGAUUGAGUUGUGGUUGGGAGACUUGUGAAUAUAGAAGUGUUUUUUGAACCCUUUUGCAAGUUGCGUAGGUCUUAGAUAUAAAGGAGACUCUACUAAAUUUUCGACAUACAUUAGGAUGUGUUUGCCUCUUUAAAUUUAUUUUUAU